UUUUUUGACAUUUCGUUUGUUAACGACUUUUUCUGGCCGCAGUUUGACCAGCUCUUGACGUUUUUACAUAAUAUUCUUCCUAAAGGGCCGGAAGUUAUAUACAAUGUCACUGACACAAGUCGUACGUAGUUGCAGCCGCUUUGCUGCUGCAUCGAAGGCACUGCGUGUGACCGCCGCAGUCUCGUCCACUGCCCAGCCACAGCUGCGUAUGAUGCACAGGAUUAGUGUCAACACACCUGCCAUGAGCAUUUUGCUUAAUCAG